rnacentral:rRNA from 1 species
UUGAACGCUGGCGGCAUGCCUUACACAUGCAAGUCGCACGGUAACGGGCCUUCGGGCGCCGACGAGUGGCGAACGGGUGAGUAAUACAUCGGAACGUGCCCGAUCGUGGGGGAUAACGAGGCGAAAGCUUUGCUAAUACCGCAUACGAUCUACGGAUGAAAGCAGGGGACCGCAAGGCCUUGCGCGGACGGAGCGGCCGAUGGCAGAUUAGGUAGUUGGUGGGAUAAAAGCUUACCAAGCCGACGAUCUGUAGCUGGUCUGAGAGGAUGAUCAGCCACACUGGGACUGAGACACGGCCCAGACUCCUACGGGAGGCAGCAGUGGGGAAUUUUGGACAAUGGGCGCAAGCCUGAUCCAGCCAUGCCGCGUGCAGGAUGAAGGCCUUCGGGUUGUAAACUGCUUUUGUACGGAACGAAAAGCCUUCUUUUAAUACAGGAGGGUCAUGACGGUACCGUAAGAAUAAGCACCGGCUAACUACGUG